AAAAAAAAACACGUGAGUAACCUUCCCUUGACUUUGUGAUAACUUCCGGAAACUGGGGCUAAUACCGGAUAGGAGCUCCUGCUGCAUGGUGUGGUUUGUAAAGUUUCGGCUGUUGGUGAUGGACUCGCGGCUUAUCAGCUUGUUUGUGGGGUAGUGGCUUAACAAGGCUUUGACGGGUAGCCGGCCUGAGAGGGUGACCGGACAGAUUGGGACGGAGAUACGGACAAGACUCCUACGGGAGGAAGUAGGGGGGAAUAGUGAAAAAUGGGCGGAAUCAUGAUGCAGUAACGCUUUUUUUUUUA
rnacentral:rRNA from 1 species